GAUGAAGAACGUAGCGAAAUGCGAUAAGUAAUGUGAAUUGCAGAAUUCAGUGAAUCAUCGAAUCUUUGAACGCACAUUGCGCCCGUCAGUAUUCUGGCGGGCAUGCCUGUUCGAGCGUCAUUACGCCCCUCAAGUCCCCUGUGGACUUGGUGUUGGGGAUCGGCGAGGCUGGUUUUCCAGCACAGCCGUCCCUUAAAUUAAUUGGCGGUCUCGCCGUGGCCCUCCUCUGCGCAGUAGUAAAACACUCGCAACAGGAGCCCGGCGCGGUCCACUGCCGUAAACCCCCCCAACUUUUUAUAGUUGACCUCGAAUCAGGUAGGACUACCCGCUGAACUUAAGCAUAUCAAUAAGCGGAGGA
rnacentral:misc_RNA from 1 species